UUUGACUCAGAUGAUGAAGAUUACUCCAAUGAUGAGGAAAGUGAUCAUGAAGGAGAAUUUGUUAGGAGGAAAACUAAGUUCCCUAGGUACAACCCUAAGGUAGAUAUUCCACUAUUCUGCUUGGGAAUGGUUUUCAGGAGCAAGGAACAGAUGAGGAAGGCACUAAUAAAAUAUGGACUUCUGACAUUUAGAAGUAUAAACUUCAUGAAGUCAGAAGAAGGGAGGAUCAGGGCUAAGUGUGGAUGGCCUGGAUGUCCGUGGACUAUAUAUGGUGCUUAUAGUAGCAGGUGUUCUAGAUUUCAGGUGAUCACAUAUGAAGAUCAAAAUGAGUGUGCACCUAACAGAGACAAUCACCUUGUCACAGCAAAAGUUAUUGCUAGGAGAUAUGAGCACAUCUUAAGAGCCAAUCCGACAUGGAAAAUUGAUAGCAUUAAAGCCACGGUUCUGAAAGAUUUCUUUGCGGAUGUUUCAACAUCAAAGUGCAAGCCUGCUAAGAAGAUAGUGUCAGAGAAGCUACUUGCCGGACUGAAA
rnacentral:rRNA from 1 species